AACGAACGCUGGCGGCAGGCUUAACACAUGCAAGUCGAACGCCACCUUCGGGUGGAGUGGCAGACGGGUGAGUAACGCGUGGAAACAUACCUUUUGCUUCGGAAUAUUCCCGGGAAACUGGGAGCAAUACCGAAUGUGCCCUGAGGGGGAAAGAUUUAUCGGCAAAAGAUUGGUCCGCGUUAGAUUAGGUAGUUGGUAGGGUAAAGGCCUACCAAGCCUACGAUCUAUAGCUGGUCUGAGAGGAUGAUCAGCCACAUUGGGACUGAGACACGGCACGAACUCGGACGGGAGGCAGCAGUGGGGAAUAUUGGACAAUGGGCGAAAGCCUGAUCCAGCCAUGCCGCGUGAAUGAUGAAGGCCUUAGGGUUGUAAAAUUCUUUCACCGGGGACGAUAAUGACGGUACCCGGAGAAGAAGCCCCGGCUAACUUCGUGCCAGCCGCCGCCGUAA
rnacentral:rRNA from 1 species